UACGAAGGGGGCUAGCGUUGUUCGGAAUUACUGGGCGUAAAGCGCGCGCAGGCGGUCUUCCAAGUCAGUGGUGAAAGCCCGGAGCUCAACUCCGGAACUGCCAUUGAAACUGUGAGACCUGAGGAUGAGAGAGGUGAGUGGAAUUCCCAGUGUAGAGGUGAAAUUCGUAGAUAUUGGGAAGAACACCGGAGGCGAAGGCGGCUCACUGGCUCAUAUCUGACGCUCAGGCGCGACAGCGUGGGGAUCAAACAGG
rnacentral:rRNA from 1 species